UGAACAGUGUGAUUGUCAUGACAGUAUUGCA
rnacentral:piRNA from 1 species